rnacentral:rRNA from 1 species
AUUGAACGCUGGCGGCAGGCCUAACACAUGCAAGUCGAGCGAGCGGCGGACGGGUUAGUACUGUAUGGGGACUGCCCGAUAGAGGGGGAUACCUACUGGAGACGGUAGCUAAUACCGCAUACUAUCGGAUAACCCAUAUGGGAUUAGGUAGUAGGUGGGGUAAUGGCUCACCUAGGCGACGAUCCCUAGCUGGUCUGAGAGGAUGAUCAGCCACACUGGGACUGAUACGCGGCCCAGACUCCUACGGAGGCAGCAGUGGGGAAUAUUGCACAAUGGGCGCAAGCCUGAUGCAGCCAUGCCGCGUGUAUGAAGAAGGCCCUAGGGUUUUAAAGUACUUUCAGUCGGGAGGCGUUACCGACAGAAGAAGCACCGGCUAACUCCGUGCCAGCAGCCGCGGUAAUAC